rnacentral:rRNA from 1 species
GGGUUAGUAGGUUGGUCAUGCCUCCUGGUAUGUACUGAUUCUCACUGAUUCCUCCUUCCUGAUGAAGCCGUAAUGCCAUUAAUUUGGUGUUGCGGGGAAUUUGGACUGUUACUUUGAAAAAAUUAGAGUGUUUAAAGCAAGCUAACGCUUGAAUACAUUAGCAUGGAAUAAUGAAAUAGGACGUUCGAUCCUAUUUUGUUGGUUUCUAGGAUUGACGUA